rnacentral:rRNA from 1 species
GGUGAGUAACACGUGGGUAACCUGCCCAUCAGAAGGGGAUAACACUUGGAAACAGGUGCUAAUACCGUAUAACAAGUAAAACCGCAUGGUUUUACUUUGAAAGGCGCUUUUGCGUCACUGAUGGAUGGACCCGCGGUGCAUUAGCUAGUUGGUGAGGUAACGGCUCACCAAGGCAACGAUGCAUAGCCGACCUGAGAGGGUGAUCGGCCACAUUGGGACUGAGACACGGCCCAAACUCCUACGGGAGGCAGCAGUAGGGAAUCUUCGGCAAUGGACGAAAGUCUGACCGAGCAACGCCGCGUGAGUGAAGAAGGUUUUCGGAUCGUAAAACUCUGUUGUUAGAGAAGAACAAGGAUGAGAGUAAAAUGUUCAUCCCUUGACGGUAUCUAACCAGAAAGCCACGGCUAACUACGUGCCAGCAGCCGCGGUAAUACGUAGGUGGCAAGCGUUGUCCGGAUUUAUUGGGCGUAAAGCGAGCGCAGGCGGUUUCUUAAGUCUGAUGUGAAAGCCCCCGGCUCAACCGGGGAGGGUCAUUGGAAACUGGGAAACUUGAGUGCAGAAGAGGAGAGUGGAAUUCCAUGUGUAGCGGUGAAAUGCGUAGAUAUAUGGAGGAACACCAGUGGCGAAGGCGGCUCUCUGGUCUGUAACUGACGCUGAGGCUCGAAAGCGUGGGGAGCAAACAGGAUUAGAUACCCUGGUAGUCCACGCCGUAAACGAUGAGUGCUAAGUGUUGGAGG